rnacentral:rRNA from 1 species
AGUGAACGCUGGCGGUAGGCCUAACACAUGCAAGUCGAACGGCAGCACAGUAAGAGCUUGCUCUUACGGGUGGCGAGUGGCGGACGGGUGAGGAAUACAUCGGAAUCUACUUUUUCGUGGGGGAUAACGUAGGUAAACUUACGCUAAUACCGCAUACGACCUACGGGUGAAAGCAGGGGAUCUUCGGACCUUGCGCGAUUGAAUGAGCCGAUGUCGGAUUAGCUAGUUGGCGGGGUAAAGGCCCACCAAGUCGACGAUCCGUAGCUGGUCUGCGAGGAGGAUCAGCGACACUGGAAGUGGAACACGGUCCAGACGACUACGGGAGGCAGCAGUGGGGAAUAUUGGACAAUGGGCGCAAGCCUGAUCCAGCCAUACCGCGUGGGUGAAGGAGGCCUUGGGGUUGUAAAGACCUUUUGUUGGGAAAGAAAAGCAGCAGGUUAAUACCCCGCUGUUCUGACGGUACCCAAAGAAGAAGCACCGGCUAACUUCGUG